GAGGCUCCUUCGGGGGUACAUCAGCGGCAGACGGGUGAGUAACACGUAUGUGACCUACCCUCGAGACGGGGAUAACGGCUUGGAAACAGUCGCUAAUACCCGAUAGACUUACCAGGUCAAAGCGGUAAGAAAAGCUACGGUGCUUGAGGAGGGGCCUGCGGCCCAUCAGCUAGUUGGUAGGGUAACGGCCUACCAAGGCGAAGACGGGUAGGGGGUGUGAGAGCACGAGCCCCCACAAUGGGACUGCGACACGGCCCAUACUCCUACGGGAGGCAGCAGCAGGGAAUAUUGCACAAUGGACGGAAGUCUGAUGCAGCGACGCCGCGUGAGUGAAGACGGCCUUCGGGUUGUAAAGCUCUUUUACGGGGGACGAGGAAGGACGGUACCCUGGGAAGAAGUGUCGGCUAACUACGUGCCAGCAGCCGCGGUAAGACGUAGGACACAAGCGUUAUCCGGAGUUACUGGGCGUAAAGCGCCUGCAGGCGGCCUGGUAAGUUGGACGUGAAAGCCCCGUGCUUAACGCGGGGAGGUCGGACAAUACUGCCAAGCUAGAGUGCGUCAGAGGGGAGUGGAAUUUCCGGAGUAGCGGUAAAAUGCGCAGAUAUCGGAAGGAACACCAGUGGCGAAAGCGACUCCCUGGGGCGCGACUGACGCUAAGAGGCGAAAGCUAGGGGAGCGAACAGGAUUAGAGAACCUGGUAGUCCUAGCCCUAAGCGGAUGGAUGCUAGGUGUGGGACGUAAAGUUCCCGUGCCGGAGCCAACGCGAUUAAGCAUCCCGCCUGGGGACUACGGUCGCAAGGCUAAAACUCAAACGAAUUGACGGGGACCCGCACAAGCAGCGGAGCGUGUGGUUCAAUUCGAUGCUACACGAAGAACCUUACCUGGGUUUGACAUGUUACGUGGUAGAGAAGCGAAAGCGGAAUUGACCCUUCGGGGAAGCGUACACAGGUGCUGCAUGGCUGUCGUCAGCUCGUGCCGUGAGUUGUCGGGUUAAGUCCCGUAACGAGCGCAACCCUUAUCCUUAGUUGCACGUUAUCUAGGGAGACUGCCGGCGGGAAAGCCGGAGGAAGGUGGGGAUGACGUCAAGUCAGCAUGGCCNUUAUGUCCAGGGCUACACACACGCUACAAUGGCCGGUACAAAGGGCAGCAAAGUCGCGAGGCGGAGCGAAUCCCAACAAAGCCGGUCGUAGUUCGGAUUGCAGGCUGCAACUCGCCUGCAUGAAGCUUGGAGUUGCUAGUAACCGCGCGUCAGCUAUAGUGCGGUGCAUACGUACCCGGGUCUUGUACACACCGCCCGUCACGUCAUGGAAG
rnacentral:rRNA from 1 species